AAGCAAAGCUACCUUCAACUGACACCACAGUCUCCAUUUUUACUGUACUGAUGAAGAUGAUGAUGAUGAAUUAUGAUGAUGAUGAAGAAACUGUGUAUUUAUGUGUGGAGACAUUGCUGCACAUAAGUCACACUGGGGGCUGGAGGUGUAGGUUCCAAGUGCGACUUACCAUCACAGACACUAAAAGUGAACAGCAGAUUUAAUUCUAAAACCAUCUUUAGAAUCAACAACAACAACAAGCAGCAUCACAGCAACAACAACAAUAGGCCAGAUCAGCUGACAGGGAGGCCCUUGACCUCGGUUCAUUACCAGUUGGUUUGGCUGACCGCUGUCUGUUCAUCUGGUCCCAGAACUAAAUCUAUUGUUUUCUAUGAUUAAUAAGGUGGAUUGUAUUGCUUUUCAUUUUAAGAAUUAAAAAAGAAAAAAGUC
rnacentral:misc_RNA from 1 species